rnacentral:rRNA from 1 species
UACGUAGGCAGCGCGCGUUGUUCGGAGUUACUGGGCGUAAAGGGUGCGUAGGCGGUUUUCCAAGUUUGGUGUGAAAUCUCCCGGCUUAACUGGGAGGGUGCGCCGAAAACUAGGAGACUUGAGUACCGGAGAGGUAAGCGGAAUUCCUGGUGUAGCGGUGAAAUGCGUAGAGAUCAGGAGGAACACCUGUGGUGUAGACAGCUUACUGGACGGUCACUGACGCUGAGGCACGAAAGCGUGGGUAGCAAACAGG